AUAAAUUGUGUCAAGCUCAGAAACUUUGGAAUUGCUUUGAUUUGCUUCAAUGAGGCUCCUGUGAUCACUGCAAUGGAUCUUUGUCUGAAGGACUUCUGGAGAACACUGUCGUAGAUGGAACCACAGGAGCAGCAAGGGAAGAAUUCUUUGAUGUUGAGGGGUGUUCUGGUAUUCACUGAGCUUGCAGACUGUUCCUGAGCCAAUUUGCUAUCCAAGUCAUCUAAAACUGAAAAGAGAAUGUUGCUACAAUAUUUCCAGCUGUGUAUACCUCCUGGGAUCAUAAUAGAAAUGAACCUCUGAAGCAUCUUACUGAAGAAGGCCCCUACGUUGACUGUCCAGCUGACUGUCUCUUCCUGACUGCUGUCCCACACGAUAGGGGCCAGGCGAUGGUAUUGCCUUUGCAAACUAAAUGAAGUUCCUCAAAGUGAAGCUGGUGGCGACUUCAGAGUUAACUUUUCAAAUGGCCGGGUUUAUAUAGAAUAACCUUUGUAAAAGUAAACUGUGAUCAUAUAAUGAUAAGAUACAUGUGCAUUUGGAAUGCCACUGCUUUUGGAACCUGUUUCAGUUUUUAUCAUCAUACAAGGUUAAUUGUCUAAUGUCAAUUAGAUUUUAUUGCAGUGCAUUUGAGUCCUAAUCUGGAACAAUAAAAGUCUAUUAAACAGCAAACUUUGUAGAUGUAUUUCCUAAAGAUGUAUUUCCUUUUUACCUGAGGUUAAUUUUUUUUUUUCUGCUUUCUCUGUCACCCAUGCUGGAGUGCAGUGGCGUGAUCUUGGCUCAUUACAACCUCCGCCUCCCAGGUUUAAGCAAUUCUCCUGCCUCAGCCUCCCAAGUAGCUGAGAUUACAGGUGUGUGCCACCAUGCCUAGCUAAUUUUUGUAUUUUCAGUAGAGAUGGGGUCUCAAACUCCUGACCCCUAAGGUUAAAUAUUAAACAUUAUUACUACUCCAUAUAUUUAUCGG